AGGUGGUUUGUCCAGAGUCAAAGGGACUCCCUGCUAGAGCCUCCAUUAGAUUUCCUAGAUUUUGCAGAAAAGAGUAAUAAUGCUCAAAAUGAGACAGACCCUAAACCACACAAUUUACGGAAACGAGGUGCCCAGACGGGGAAGAGAAAAUACCAGAAGGGGAAAACUUAGCUACAAUCCAGACAAAACUGAUGUGAAAACUUUUUAAAAAAAUAUUUCAAAUGGCCGUGAAAGACUAGUCCAUUGAAAUAGUUAUCAGUUAUCUUGUGAAAUAGUGAAAUAGAAAUUUUAUAGGUAUGUUUCUGGAGGGUUUGUAUGUCACCACAGUGGCCAGUCCCUGUACUUGAAUUGGGUUGAUAACAUUAUAGAGCGUAACAGUUAGCUCACUCAAUACGUCAUGAUGCUUGACUUUUUUUGAAGGAUGUUUCACCAUUGCAAAAUGUCAAGAACAUAAAAAUCCUUAUUUUUAAAUAAACUAAUAAAUCUGAAUAUUCA